CUCCUCCCCCUGCCUCAUGCCAGAAUCAGCCCAGCACUCAGCCCCCAGGUCAGGAAAACCACAGCAAAUCCUACCUCUUCCAAAAUGAAGCUGCAAGACUCUCUACCAGAGCAGUCACACUCAAUGAAGGUACCCGAGGUAUCUGAGAGUGAUGUAAUUGAAACCAGAUGGAGAGACCAGAAAUCCCUUAAUCCCAGUCACAUACAGUGAAAGAGCUUACUUAGGACUGAUUGAGAAUAUGCGGGGUAAGGAGGAGAGAAAGAGAUCCUCAGAAUUGGAUUGCCCCCCGAAUACAGGAUGGAAUCAUCUAGAUUUUUUUUUCUCCAGUUAAAUUUGCAUUUCAUCCUACCACAUUGCUAUGGCUUCACUCUAGACAUUUUCAUUUGAGAUCCAAGGCUUUUCUUCAUGGGUUCUGAGCCACAGGUUCCUGUAUGGUGAGCAUGCAAGUGAUCCUUAAACAUAUCACCCUCAAACCUCCCAAUGUGCUGGCUUGUAAGAAGUGUUUUCCAGGACCAAAUGUACCUCUUGUUCGGGUUUUCAGAAUCAGGAAAAUGAUCAGGGAUGCCAGUUUCUAAAGGUGUGAAGGAGGACCCGGAUGACUAGCCAAUCCAAAUGCAGGUCACUGCUGAGAAAGUCCCAGGCAUCUCUAAUUCCUAAUGAUGGAGCCUAGAACUGGUACAUAAAAGACCAGAGAUUGGAAUAGAAGCAACAUGAUAGAGUGAUGUGAGCCUGAGUAUGGGAGCCACACAGCUAUGAAUACGAUCGGAGAGAUCCCUAAUUCUACAACU